GUUGCUGCAGGAGCAGCAAAAUCAUGGUAUCUCCAUCCUCCUGGCUCCAGGGGGCUCAUCCCAAACCAGCUGCCAGAAAGGGAAUUGUGAGGAGUCCCUGUGUGGUUUAGGUGGGGGUGGGAGGGACAGAUGCUCGGGGUUUUGUGUGUGUUUGAGGGGUUUUGGUGUGUUUGAGGUUUUGCGGAGUUUUGUUUGGCAAACAAACAACAAAACCCCCAAUACUGAGAGAGCCCAUGCCCCGAUUGUAGCCCUGUUUUCAAAUUAGGUGGUGGUUUGUGUGUGGUUCUGCCCUGAGCCCUCCAAGGCCCUGUGUUUGCUCGUGUUUAGUAGAUAUUCAGUGCUUGCUUCUAUCUAGAGAGCUCUUGCCUUCCUAAUGAGCACCAAAGAGAUGUGGGAGUGUAACCCGGAUUGCUGCUGCCUUUCCUUGCAGAGGAUUCACAUCAAUUCAGGGCAUCAAAUCCCAGCCCGAGGCUUAAUUAACGAAGCGCCGUCACACCGAGGGAUUGUCUCAGUUUGGCCAGCGAUGGAGAGGUGAUGGCAGUCGUGGCAUUUUGAAGCCCUUUUGGUGGAGGGCAGAUUUCCCACAGCCACGAAGCCCAAACACAGCUUUAAAAAGAUCUAACCAAGGAGGAUCUCUACUCAGAGGAUUCAAGAGUCCAAAGAAGGCUGCAGUGAAAGAGGGAGAUGCUUUCCUUUUUUAGGAUGGUUUUCCAGAUUUCCUGGUUGGGUUUUUUUUUUCUGUUGUUUAAGCUCUGAUGGGCUGUCAGGAAAAAAAAAAUCCAAACCAAACAGCAACAAAUCCAGGGAAGAGGCUGUAGAUAAUCCCAUUUAUCUGAUGUGCUCCUCCUCAGAGGUGCAGGAUGGAUCUUCAUCUGUGCUUUCCUCCAAAUCUGGCAGGUUGCCCCAGAGCAAUACAUUCACACCUGGUGGGAAGGAGGCCUGUGGUUCCAUUGGCAUCAGCUCAGAAGUUCAUCACACACAAACCCCACCUGAACAGGAGCCUCGUGCACAGGAGAGAAUCAGUGGUAGGAGUAAUGAGACUCAUGGAAUGGUUUGGGUUGGAAGAACCUUAAAGACCAUCCAGUUCCACCCCCUGCUAUGGGCAGGGACACCCUCCACUAGCCCAGGUUGCUCCAAGUUUAUCCAACCUGGCCCUGGACACUUCCAGGGAUGGGGCAGCCACAGCUUCUCUGGGCAACCUGUGCCAGAAUAUUGAAGCCUUAUCAACUUUCCUCAAUUGAAACCCAGAACAACCACUUUUCUACUUUCACGUGCUCUGGUGAGAUAUUUCUGUUUCUCUGCUUCUCCCUAAAAACUAAAAUAUUGUGUUUCUAUCACAAACCCCCCACCCCAACUGUUUAAAUCUGAACAGGGUAAAAGUCUUGAUUAGGAAGCCGAAGGGAUCAUCUCAAAUGACUGUGAGCUAUUUGAGAGUUGUUGUUUUUACUCUUAAAUAUCAGAUACUAAUAAGGAGGAUAAAAGAACUCCAAGAACUUUA